rnacentral:rRNA from 1 species
UGGGGAAUUUUGGACAAUGGGCGCGAGCCUGAUCCAGCAAUGCCGCGUGCAGGAUGAAGGCCUUCGGGUUGUAAACUGCUUUUGUACGGAACGAAAAGCCUCUCUCUAAUACAGGGGGUGAUGACGGUACCGUAAGAAUAAGCACCGGCUAACUACGUGCCAGCAGCCGCGGUAAUACGUAGGGUGCAAGCGUUAAUCGGAAUUACUGGGCGUAAAGCGUGCGCAGGCGGUUUUGUAAGACAGUGGUGAAAUCCCCGGGCUCAACCUGGGAACUGCCAUUGUGACUGCAAGGCUGGAGUGCGGCAGAGGGGGAUGGAAUUCCGCGUGUAGCAGUGAAAUGCGUAGAUAUGCGGAGGAACACCGAUGGCGAAGGCAAUCCCCUGGGCCUGCACUGACGCUCAUGCACGAAAGCGUGGGGAGCAAACAGGAUUAGAUACCCUGGUAGUCCACGCCCUAAACGAUGUCAACUGGUUGUUGGGGAUUUAUUUCUUCAGUAACGAAGCUAACGCGUGAAGUUGACCGCCUGGGGGAGUACGGCCGCAAGGUU